UGACUUUCGGAGGAGGUAAUGACCAGUUCCAUGGGUACCUUUUGGUAUUGUGGAUAGGGGUACAGUUUUCCACUGUACCGAAACCUAGCAGAGGGCCAGUCUGGUGCCAGCAGCUGCGGUAAUUCCAGCUCUGCGAGUUUGCUCCCAUAUUGUUGCAGUUAAAACGCCCGUAGUCUGAAUUGGCCAGCAAUGGUCGUACGUAUUUAUACGUUCACUGUGAACAAAUCAGGACGCUUAGAGUAUGGCAACAUGAAUGACUCAGCGCAGUAUGAAGUCUUUGUUUUCUUCCGAAAACAAGCUCAAAGAGAGCCAUCGGGGGUGGAUCUAUCUCAUGACGAGUGGUGGAAUACUUUGACUCAUGAGAGAGAAUCUGAGGCGAAGGCGUCCACCUAGAGGGUUUCUGUCGAUCAAGGGCGAGAGUAGGAGUAUCCAACAGGAUUAGAGACCCUGGUAGUUCCUACCUUAAACGAUGCCGACAGGAGUUUGUCAUUUGUUAAUGGCAGAAUCUUUGGAGAAAUCAUAGUUCUUGGGCUCUGGGGGAACUACGACCGCAAGGCUGAAACUUGAAGGAAUUGACGGAAGGGCACACCAGGGGUGGAGCCUGUGGCUUAAUUUGAAUCAACACGGGGAAACUUACCAGGACCAGAUGUUUUUUAUGACUGACAGGCUUCGGGUCUUUCAGGAUAUUGCUUUUGGUGGUGCAUGGCCGUUGGUGGUGCGUGGGUUGACCUGUCUAGCGUUGAUUCAGCUAACGAGCGAGAUUAUCGCCAAUUAUUUACCUCCUCCGGGUUUCUAGGUUGAGGUUCUAAUUGGGACUCCCUGCGAUUUUAGCAGGUGGAAGAGGGUAGCAAUAACAGGUCCGUGAUGCCCUUUAGAUGCUCUGGGCUGCACGCGUGCUACAAUGUUAGGAUCAAUAGGAUAUGCAAACCUGAGAGGGUGAGCUACUCUUAUAAUCCCUAACGUAGUUGGGAUUGACGUUUGUAAUCAGCGUCAUGAACCAGGAAUCCCUUGUAAAUGUGUGUCAACAACGCACGUUGAAUACGUCCCUGCCCUUUGUACACACCGCCCGUCGCUCCUACCGAUUGGAUGACUCGGUGAAAUCACCGGAUGCUUACGAGCAGAAAGUGAU
rnacentral:rRNA from 1 species